GAUGAACGCUGGCGGCGUGCUUGACACAUGCAAGUCGAACGGUGAACUCAGGAGCUUGCUCUUGGGGGAUCAGUGGCGAACGGGUGAGUAACACGUGAGCAAUCUGCCCCGGACUCUGGGAUAAGCGUUGGAAACGACGUCUAAUACUGGAUAUGAAACGCGAAGGCAUCUUCUGCGUUUGGUAAGAAUUUCGGUCUGGGAUGGGCUCGCGGCCUAUCAGCUUGUUGGUGAGGUAAUGGCUCACCAAGGCGACGACGGGUAGCCGGCCUGAGAGGGUGACCGGCCACACUGGGACUGAGACACGGCCCAGACUCCUACGGGAGGCAGCAGUGGGGAAUAUUGCACAAUGGGCGCAAGCCUGAUGCAGCAACGCCGCGUGAGGGACGACGGCCUUCGGGUUGUAAACCUCUUUUAGUAGGGAAGAAGCGAAAGUGACGGUACCUGCAGAAAAAGCACCGGCUAACUACGUGCCAGCCGCCGCUGUAA
rnacentral:rRNA from 1 species